UAGAUGCGAGAGUAGAGCAUAUCAAUAAGCGGAGGAAAAGAAACUAACAAGGAUUCCCUUAGUAACGGCGAGUGAAGCGGGAAGAGCUCAAAUUUGAAAUCUUCAAGGUUCUACCUUGACGAAUUGUAGUUUAAAGAAGUGUUUUCUGUUAGAUGAGUAGCAAAAGUUCCUUGGAAUGGGACAUCAUAGAGGGUGAGAAUCCCGUAUUUGGUUAUUCAUUCUAGCUUUGUGAUACACUUUCAAAGAGUCGGAUUGUUUGGGAAUGCAGUCCAAAAUGGGUGGUAAAUUUCAUCUAAAGCUAAAUAUUGGCGAGAGACCGAUAGCGAACAAGUACCGUGAGGGAAAGAUGAAAAGAACUUUGAAAAGAGAGUUAAACAGUACGUGAAAUUGUCAAAAGGGAAGCGUUUGACACCAGUGUUGUUUUUCCGAAAAUCAAUUACGAAUGGCUUGAUUUUGUGUUGUAUUGACCUUAUCAGCUUUCCUGCACUUUUUUCGAGUCUUUCUUAAUGCACUUUUCGGUUAACAAGUCAACAUCAAUUUCUUUUGUUGUAAAAGAGUAUUCGGAAGGUGGCUUUCUUUUCGGAGAAAGUGUUUAUAGCCCUAUACUUCUACAAUCGGAGAGAUUGAGGUCUGCAGCGUAGAUCCUUCGGGGUUAGAUACACUUUGUGCUAAGUUGUAGCUUUUCAUAGACAACUUGUUGACUAUGUUUAGUCAUGCGGCUUACUCGCUUAUGCUAUUUUACCUACGCUUAGGAUGUUGAGCGCAUGUCUCUCUCU
rnacentral:rRNA from 1 species